AGUUUUCCUUCUCUAAGAUUGGUUCUUAAUUGUUUGACAAGGCAAUAAACGGUGCCAAGUGUUAUACUAAACAAAGCCAAAAUGCGAUCGUUCUGCAAAAUUUGAGCAAGAACAUCGCAGCGAUGAAUGCAAAAUCUUUUUUCGAACAUGCGCAGCGACAUAUUCAGGACCCUGUAUACAACAGCGCAACUAUGGUGACUGGAGCAGCGUGGCAGCUCCAGAUUUCCUUCUAGGGGUGUGCAGCAGCUGUUGGUCAGUGUUCCCAGCAAAGUCGUUGCCACGGUGCAGCGAGAAUUGACCCUUGUGUAGUACUGGAGGUAUGAAACGUUCGAGGCACUUGUCGAGGUUAUUGCUGAACUGGCCAGGCAGGAAGACUUUUGGCCUAUACAGUUUUAUGCCGGUAUUCUUUGUCCUUGGCGCUGCUCUUGAACUUGUGAUGAUCAAGUGGACUCCUGGAGGGCACACCAACUUCUAUGUGACAUUUAAAAGGAGACAAGCCAAGAACAUUGUUGCCUCUGAGUCAAGAUUGUGAGUCAAGUCCUGUGUUCUUUGCAGUGAAGGGGUUUCCACAAUGC